rnacentral:rRNA from 1 species
UACAGAGGGUGCGAGCGUUGUCCGGAAUCACUGGGCGUAAAGGGCGCGUAGGCGGCCUGAUAAGUAGGGGGUGAAAUCCUGUGGCUCAACUGCAGGGCUGCCUCCUAGACUGUCGGGCUUGAGCACGGUAGAGGCAGAUGGAAUUCCCGGUGUAGCGGUGGAAUGCGUAGAGAUCGGGAAGAACAUCGGUGGCGAAGGCGGCAUCCUGGACCAACACUGACGCUGAGUGAGCGAAAGCCAGGGGAGCAAACGGG